rnacentral:snRNA from 1 species
GCUCAUUUUGGCGGGGCAUAUACUAAAGUUGGGACAAUACAGAGAAGAUUAGCAUGGCCCCUGGGCAAGAAUGAUAUGCAAAUUCGUGAAGUGUUCCAUAUUUUU